UACGUAGGGGGCAAGCGUUGUCCGGAUUUAUUGGGCGUAAAGAGCGUGUAGGCGGCUUGGUAAGUCCGCUGUGAAAGUCCAGGGCUCAACCCUGGAAUGCCGGUGGAAACUGUCAAGCUUGAGUCCGGAAGAGGCGAGUGGAAUUCCUGGUGUAGCGGUGAAAUGCGCAGAUAUCAGGAAGAACACCCGUGGCUAAGGCGGCUCUCUAGUACGGUACUGACGCUGAGACGCGAAAGCGUGGGGAGCGAACAGG
rnacentral:rRNA from 1 species